UACGUAGGGUGCAAGCGUUGUCCGGAAUUAUUGGGCGUAAAGAGCUCGUAGGCGGUCUGUCGCGUCGGAUGUGAAAACCCAGGGCUCAACCCUGGGCCUGCAUUCGAUACGGGCAGACUAGAGUUCGGUAGGGGAGACUGGAAUUCAUGGUGUAGCAGUGAAAUGCGUAGAGAUCAUGAGGAAGACCAGUGGCGAAGGCGGGUCUCUGGACAGUUCCUGACACUGAGGCACGAAGGCCAGGGGAGCAAACGGG
rnacentral:rRNA from 1 species